rnacentral:rRNA from 1 species
CCUGGUUGAUCCCGCCAGUGAUGAUAUGCUUGAAUUAAAGAUUAAGCCAUGCAAAUGUAGUAUAAAUCGCUUUUACUGAUGAAACUGUGAACGGCUCAUUAAAUCAGUUAUAGUUUAUUUGAUGGUAUUGAGGUUUACCUCAACUACAUGGAUAACUGUAGUAACCUAGAGCUAAUACAUGCAAAACAAUUCAACUUUUUGGAAGAAUUGGCACUUAUUAGAUAUCAAACCAAUAUAUUUUCGGAUAUUUUUAUGGUGAGUCAUAAUAACUGAACAGAUCGCAUGACCUCGUGUCGGCGACGUUUCAUUCAAAUUUCUGCCCUAUCAACUAGAUGUUAGUAUAUUGGACUAACAUGGUGGUAACGGGUAACGGGGAAUUGGGGUUCGAUUCCGGAGAAGGAGCAUGAGAAACGGCUACUACUUCUAAGGAAAGCAGCAGGCGCGCAAAUUAUUCAAUGGAAACAAUUUUCCGAAAUAGUGACAAUUAAUAACAAUACGUUGCAUAAAUUGUGAUGUAAUUGGAAUGAGUACAGUUUAAAACCCUUAACGAGUAACAAUUAGAGGGCAAGUCUGGUGCCAGCAGCCGCGGUAAUUCCAGCUCUAAUAGUGUAUAUCUAUGUUGUUGCAGUUAAAAAGCUCGUAGUUGAAUUUUGAAUAUUUAAAUAAGUUUGGUUUACUUUUAUAAGUAUGACUACUUAUUUAUAUUCUUCCUACUAGUAACUCGAUUCUGUUCUUAAUUGAAUGGAAUAGCAUUCUUUCGGGAGUGUCGAUUAGGAUGUAUAUCUCCACCAAUAAGUGGAGAGGCGUUAAAACCUUAAAGUUUAUUGAGUGGAUCAAGAUAUAUAUUUUAAUUGGAGUUCUAGUUCAUUUACUUUGAGAAAAUUAGAGUGUUUAAGGCAGCCUCUUGGGGCACUGAAUAUAUUAGCAUGGGAUAAUAAAAUAGGAUUCAUAUCAUAAAUUUGUUGGUUUGAAUGAUGUAAAUAAUGAUUAAUAGGGACAGUUGGGGGUAUUUAUAUUGGAUGGUUAGCGGUGAAAUGCAUGGAUCCAUUCAAGAUAAACUAAAGCGAAAGCAUUUACCAAGGAUGUUUUCAUUAAUCAAGAACGAAAGUUAAGGGAUCGAAGAUGAUCAGAUACCGUCGUAGUCUUAACUAUAAACUAUGCCGACCAGGGAUAUGAGUUGUUAUGAAUAUGCUUUUGUAUAUUCAAUUUCCUCUUGUGGACCUUGUGAGAAAUCAUAAGUUUUUGGGUUCUGGGGGGAGUAUGGUCGCAAGGCUGAAACUUAAAGGAAUUGACGGAGGGGCACAACCAGGAGUGGAGCGUGCGGCUUAAUUUGACUCAACACGGGAAAACUUACCAGGUCCAGACAUUAGAAGGAUUGACAGAUUGAUAGCUCUUUCAUGAUUUAAUGGGUGGUGGUGCAUGGCCGUUCUUAGUUGGUGGAGUGAUUUGUCUGGUUAAUUCCGAUAACGAACGAGACCUUUACCCUGUCUCUUAUACACAUCUGACGCUGCCGACGAAUAGAGAGGUGUAGA